rnacentral:rRNA from 1 species
AACGAACGCUGGCGGCAUGCCUAACACAUGCAAGUCGAACGAAGUCUUCGGACUUAGUGGCGCACGGGUGCGUAACGCGUGGGAAUCUGCCCUUGGGUGCGGAAUAACUUCUCGAAAGGGAUGCUAAUACCGCAUAAUGUCGUAAGACCAAAGAUUUAUCGCCCAAGGAUGAGCCCGCGUAAGAUUAGCUAGUUGGUGGGGUAAAAGCCUACCAAGGCGACGAUCUUUAGCUGGUCUGAGAGGAUGAUCAGCCACACUGGGACUGAGACACGGCCCAGACUCCUACGGGAGGCAGCAGUGGGGAAUAUUGGACAAUGGGCGAAAGCCUGAUCCAGCAAUGCCGCGUGAGUGAUGAAGGCCUCGGUUGUAAGACUCUUUACUUCGGUACGAGUAAUAGGACGGUACCGACGGAGAAGUAAGACCCGGCCGUAACCUACCG